AUGAAUGUAUCCCAAAGAGUAGUUUAAUAGAAAAGGCUGGCUUUGGGAGCGAGGGGUCGGGGUGCGAAU
rnacentral:tRNA from 1 species